GUCUACGGCCAUAUCACCCUGAAUGCACCCAAUCUCAGAAGCUAAGCAGGGCCUCAUCUGGUUUAUACUUGGAUGGGAGCCACCACAGUGUCACUGAUGGAAUCUCUAGAUU
rnacentral:rRNA from 1 species